rnacentral:rRNA from 1 species
AACGAACGCUGGCGGCAUGCCUAACACAUGCAAGUCGAACGAAACCUUCCUGUCUAGUGGCGCACGUGUGCGUAACACGGGGUAAGCUGCCCUUCGGUUAGGAAUAACUGACAGAAAUUUCAGCUAAUACCUUAUAAUGUCUUCGGGCCAAAGAUUUAUCGCCGAGGGAUGAGCCUGCGUAGGAUUAGGUAGUUGGUGGGGGAAUGGCCUACCAAGCCGACGAUCCUUAGCUGGUGUGAGAGGAUGCACAGCCACACUGGGACUGGGCCAAGGCCCAGACUCCUACGGGAGGCAGGAGUGGGGAAUAUUUGGCAAUGGGCGAAAGCCAGCUCCAGCACUGCCGCGUGAAUGAUGAAGGCCUAGGGUUGUAAAGCUCUUUUACCCGGGAUGAUAAUGACAGUACCGGGAGAAUAAGCACCGGCUAACUCCGUG